rnacentral:misc_RNA from 1 species
GACCAAUCAAGCACGGCUUGGUGUUGGGGCUCGCCGUCUGGCGGCCCUUAAAAACAGUGGCGGUGCCGUCUGGCUCUCAGCGUAGUAACUAAUCUCGCUGUUGGGUCUCGCGGUUGCUUGCCAACAACCCCUAAUUUACUCA